GGACCCGCACAAGUAGUGGAGCAUGUGGUUUAAUUCGAAGAUACGCGCAGAACCUUACCAACACUUGACAUGUUCGUCGCGACUUUAAGAGAUUAAAGUUUUCGGUUCGGCCGGACGAAACACAGGUGCUGCAUGGCUGUCGUCAGCUCGUGUCGUGAGAUGUUGGGUUAAGUCCCGCAACGAGCGCAACCCUCACUUUUAGUUGCCAUCAUUAAGUUGGGCACUCUGAAAGAACUGCCAGUGAUAAGCUGGAGGAAGGUGGGGAUGACGUCAAGUCCUCAUGGCCCUUACGUGUUGGGCUACACACGUGCUACAAUGGUAUCUACAACAGGAAGCAAAACGGCAACGUUAAGCAAAUCCUAAAAAGAUAUCUCAGUUCGGAUUGCACUCUGCAACUCGAGUGCAUGAAGCUGGAAUUACUAGUAAUCGU
rnacentral:rRNA from 1 species